CACACACACACACACACACACACACAGCAUACAGUAGGACAAACGUUUAAAUUCCAGCAUCCACAAUAAUCCAAUUAACCUACUUCCAUUUAAAAUGUGAAGUGUUGUAUAGUUUAAAGAAAAAUCUGUUUGCUGUCUAUUGAGGAUAACAUUUGCCCAUGAGCUUGGUGUUAUUUGUGCUCUUUUCGCCCCAUAAUAUUAUGUAAAUUACUAAUUUAGAGACAACUUUUAGCAUCAGCUUCGUUGAGCCCGUGAGCAUUUACAGCAGCAGGACAUCCUGUGUGACUGACAACAAAAUAAAAUACAGUUUCCGUGUUUGUCGCAAGGAGAUUUUAAUCUUUCUGGACAACACUGACAGUCUAAGAUGUGUCAGGCUUUAUCUAACAAACCUAAUCAAUUAUUCUUGUCCUUUUAUUUGAUAAAAAGAUAAGGAAAAUUAAAGAAAUAUCAGAACUUGGUACAUUUUUCGUUUAGCUCUGAUUUUCAUAUUGGUGGUUGCUGACAGAAAUGCUAAAACAUAUUGCACUUCUUUAGGUUUAAAUCACUGUGACAGUUUGAUUUGUCUUGAUGAUGCAUUGUUAAUAUGGCAACCCUGUAAAGUGGACAAUCAGAGCUUUGUGUCUUCACUUCUUUCACACUAAAAUGGAUACAGAACAACCCUAAAAAGUAUUAAAUUAAAUAACGAGGCAUCACAGAAGGCAGCCGGCAUCUUAUCUCCUAUCCUCCGGCAGCUUUGGGAUUUUGUGUCAGCUGUUCUCGGUUUGCCGAGCCGAUCCAUUGUUCUGCAGCUAUUCAAGUGCGUUACAGCAGGGGUGAACCUGCGAUGCAGGGUUCAAACUUUUCCACAUAGAGUAAAACGUCAACAGGAUUCAUGUCAGGGAGUACAGCACAAACUAUAAUCAUCAUCUCCACUAUUCUAUCAAAGAAAAGAGAGGAACUGCAUAUCAUCCCAUCCAAGCCAUCAUCGGCUGACUGAGUAUUCAGCGACAGCUCCAGUAAAUUAUGAAAUCAGUGAAUUUCUGCCACUGGCCUCCUUAAGCUGCAGGAUAAUUAGUAAUCAUCACAAAGCAAGGGGACGGAAAUACUCUAUUCUUCUCUGCUGUCAACUUUUUAUCUCCGUGUCCGCUCACACAAACGGGGUUCCCACUCUGAGCCAAUUGGCUGAAUCAGGCUUAAUAACAACCUGACAAACUCGCCCUCCCCCACGCACAAAAGGGAGGUGUCAUUUCAUCAACCUACUGUGACCCCACCAACGGGUAAAUAGUCCCUCCAGAAAAGAAAAAAAAAGAAGGAAAAAAAAACUUGUCACUAUUGCCGCCACAUCAUUAGUAUCUCAGUUUGUCUUUUCUCCUGCCAUCUUCAACUCCCUCCCUUUAUGAACCUCGUCUCUAACGUACCUACGGCAAAGGCGGCUGUUGCGUUUCUUGACGGAGGAGCGAGGUGCAAAUACGAGAGGGGAAAAGAAGGAGGAAUGGAAACACAAUCAGUGAUGAUGAUUCCAUUGGUUAUUUAUAAUCAGAUGAGGCUGAGGCCUCGCGGGUCAUUACUUGAUUAUCCAUCUUGAGGGGAUUGUCAAGUUCUCACUCCUCUAAGAUUUUUAUCCGCCUACACAUUGUGGUUUUGCAGCCUCCCCGCACCCCGACGCCGCCACCGACAUCCUCCUCUCGCGAAUGUAGUCAGUCUACUUUGCAACUUUUAAUCUCGUCUUAAACAGUCCCUUCAGUUUAAUCGGGGAAUGGCGACGUACAAAUAGUGGAGUAACAGCUUUUUUUUUCUUUCGUCAGGUGGAAGGAUAGAAGAGGUGGUCAUUUAUUUUAAGGAAAAAUUAUAAAAAUGCUUCAAGUUGAGAAAAUAUUUAGGUUGUAACAAAUUUGUUUGUCACAAGUUUGCAGUCUGUUUUUUUUAUUUAGUAAUUUUAUAGGCUCAAAAUUGGAUUAAUUUAUCCAUUUGCAAUACUUUUAAGUUUUUCUAAUGGAAUUUUGUAGUAUUUUCUGAAUGAUCACCUCUUUAGAUUUUGUCUUGUUAAUUAAAUUAAAAGAAACUCCAAUCUGCAUUUUUUUUGUUAUUUUAAUCAUUAUUAAGACACGUGACAGAUUAAACCAUAAAAAGAAAAGAAGUGCAGCCCUAAGGUUUAUUACCAUCAGGCAACAAUAUUAGCUUUUUAAACUAGUGGUGUAAAAACCUGGCAAACGUGUCGCCGAUUCACAGAAAAGCAGCAAAUUAAGAGUUCCCCUGCUCGCACGGAUGCAUUCACCGGCUCAGACACAAGAGAGAGAUGACAGACAUGAGAAUCAGAGACUCUUUAGAAGAAAGUCAUCCAAACACAUGUAGCUCCAAUCAUGUCAUUGUCCGAGCUGUCCACUGCUCUCACUGGACAGCCGUUUAGCAUAAAAACAGAGUGGCUUUUUUUUUUUACCCCCUGCUCCCUCCACUCCCCUCUGUGCCCGCUCCCUCCAUGACAUAUCUUUCUCUAUCCUUUACUCCUCAAAAAGUUGCUUUUGAGUUUUUCAAAGAGCGCGGUGCCAUUGAGCUGCAACAAAAGCCAAGGAUAGCUGACUAUUGGGCCCUGAUGAGGUCCACUCCCUCAUUACCCAGCAGCAGAAAACAUUUGAUGCUUUUUUUUUUCUCUCUUUUUUUUUUGUUUGGCCUGGAGAAUUGACCAGGCCUCAAAGAAAUGCAGGGUGGGAAGGCUGAAAAAGAGACGGGGGUUGGAGGGGGGUGAGGGGAGGAGGGGAAAGGUUGUCGUUCAUUCAUCCGUGUGUGUCUUACAGCCUUGUGUGGAGGGACAGAAAAAAAAAGUGGGAGGUGGCAGGGACAGAGGGGUCGAGAGAGAGGGAGAGAGAUGUGGAGGGGGGGCUUAAAACAGUGCCUUUAUGCUGGCAAGUUCUGGACGACUCUUCUGACAUCAAAGUGUUUUCACUAACUGGGGAGCUGCUUAGUUAGUGUGUGUGCGUGCACGCAUGUGAGCCGGCUGGGGGUGUAUCUGUGUGACUGCCUUGGGCCGGCGAUGGAUUGUUCUGCAGGGUCGUUCUCACAACCUUCUCCUGCCUCGGCUGCUCCUCUUGGGGAAACAUCGUUUGAGUUGGAGGCCCCAUCUUUUGUGAUCCAGGACCCUACCGGACCCCCCGCUCUCAACCCCUCGAGUUUCGUUGGCCCAGGACCGAACCAAAACGGUAACUCGGGGAGGGUUGUGCUACCUGCACCUGGCCAACAGAGGCUCCAUUUGUUGAUCGUGACAGACGCGAGCAAAACAUGGGCUCCACACAGUUUAUUACAAACCUUACAUUUUUACAAAAAUUGCUCUCUGAUCAUCUUGUAUAGUAUAAACCUGCAAGACCUUUACAAGAAGAUUUCAACAAUUUAGCAUUGCAGUCUUUUAAACCUGCAGGACUUUAUGUGCACAAUUAAAAAAGAAACAGCACAAUUAAAUAAGAGACUUCAUCAUUUUUGUUCUGCGCACUGUGAAAACCUGUCCGUACUACCCACAGUCCAUCUGAGAUUUUGUACCGCUGACUUUGUAAAACUUUUUUUUACAUAUAAUUCUCCCCAGCACCUCGGUCUCGAGUUAGAUUGUGUUCUGCCUUAGUCUGCUGCCUAUAAAGACACUGAUUAGUGAAUAACUAUAAUUAUCUGGUGUAUUAAAAUGGAUGCAAAUAAUUCAAAUCUGACAUUCAAGAGGGUAUUGAUGUCACUAAUAUACAUAAAGUUAGUGUCAGAAUAUAAUUUCUGUUAGGACCACUGUAGCCAAAAAUUGUUGUUUCCAUGUGCGGUCACUUAUAUUUGGUGGUACAGUUCUGUUCUGGGACCUCCUCCUGUGGGCUUUGAAAGCAGCAAGAAGACAACAGAGCAGGCAUCAGUAGAUAAAGAUGUCACAGUGAUUCAGAUGGCCAAUAGAAUGGAGGAGGUAGGGUGAACAUGGUUUGCAAAGUGGCUUGCACAUGUGACUUUAGUAAGUUUAGUCAGCUUGCCAGAUGAUGUGGGCUCCCACUGAGAUCAGCUGAUCUACUGGGAGCGGAGCUUGACUUUAUGUCACUUCCGGGGUGGCUUGACCUCUACUGUUUUCCCUGAUUUCCUGGUUGUCUCUACUGUGACUAGCAAAGGCAAAAACGCUUCCCAUAAAAGUCGAAUUAAAAGACAUUUCUAUAUUUGUACAUGCUUACUAUUACACAUCUGACAUCUGAACACUCUGAUAGAAAACAGGAAAACAUCAUUUGCCCAAACGGAACCAAGGUAACUGCAAUAAUUAAAAUUUAGGUAACAAUUAGGAUCCUGGUUUGAUUCUUUGUGCUUAAAAGAAAUCGAUUUGUCCUAUCACCCCUUGUUCAGGUUUCAGAACAGACAGAGAGAGAAACUGAUAUGAAAGAAGUGAGCUUUGCCCUCGAAGCAUGCUGCCAUUAAAUGUUUUAAAAGACAAUGACUGUCAUCAAAUAUCAAAAUCUAUUUGAUUUGAACUCUUCCAGCUCUUCACACGCGGUCCUUCUUACCAAGGUCUUCAGUGGAGGACCACGUCCCUCUCAUUCUUCAGUUUUCCCCUUUCUCUCUUUGUCAUUCUGUUUUGAUUUAUAUAUUUCAUUUUCUCUCAUCACCAACUGCUCAGCACAGAGCCAUUAUUGACAGUGACACAAAAAAAAGAGAUGGAAAGUGGAUCAAAAGAAGGGUUAAAAACAGAUAGAAACUCAGAGAUACUCAAAGUUGCCUCAGGGUUGUUGUCAUGUUUUUCUCCCCUCGGCAGCUUUGUGCGCAACUGCAAUCGAACAAGUGGAGGGAAAAUAAAGUCACUAUUCUGCUACCAAAAUACAGAGACCUGACCUUGGGUGAGUAAAGCCAGCGAGCAGAACAGGAUAGUGAUAGAAUAAAGAGUGGGGAUAGAGGGGUGGAGAGAGAGGAUGGGCAAUGAAAAGUGGAGUGGAGAGCGAGGACAGUUUGCGAGAGAGAGAAAGAGUGUCUUCGUUACAAUACUGGCAGCAUCCAUUAAAAAAAAAAGAAGAAAAAAGAAGAAAAAACCCCAAACCCUGUAUUUCACAAAACUACGAGCUUUGCAGCGGCUGCAAAGAAAAAGAAGCCGGAACAACUGAAUAGACUCACAAAUGGAGUCUACAGAGAUGCUACAAAGGACGAGAAAUUACAAACGACUGUGUGGAUGAAAAAUAGCAAACAAACUAAAUGAUGAACAAUAAAAAAAUAAACAGCGUCUUCUGGAUUAAAUGAAGUUGUACGUAGCCCAUGCGUUGCAAGUCAUUAAAUCAUUUUUUGAAUAUAAAACUGGAUGAUUGUGGAGGAUCGGGAGCCGCAGAAGGAAAGGUGACCCAACUAAUCAGAAGUCAACAGUUAGAUAAAGACGUCAUCCCAGGCGGACAAAAGUGGCGGAUUAACCCUUACCACUCUGGCUCAGGUGAUGAGGGGAAGAGGUCAGAGGCUAUUUUUAUAUGUUAACACCCUCUUUUCUCUCCUGCACUCACCAUAGAAACACACGCUGGCACGCACAUGCGGAGGCGAUCCUCGUCGAGUCAGGGGAACCUGCACCGCUGCUCCCUGCGAGCAUUCAUUCAAUCUAUUAAGGGUCAGCUAGUUAGCAAGCUUUAACUUUACAGGACAGAUCACUAUAGAGAAUCCAUAGCACCCCACCUAAAAAAUACCCCCAAAGCCUCCAACCAGAUGGCCUCACAAAGGAAAACAUGGUAUCCUGAAAGAGAGGAGCCAGUAUGGGGCAGAGAGGGACAGCAGGCAUUCAGGACCUUGAUGAGGGUGGAUUAGAGAGGGCAAGGGUGCUGCUGCUGCUGGGUUAGCGGGUGGGGUGCAGGGUGAUUUCAAGACUCUAUGCAACUUUUAGUGGGUUUGACUUCAAAUGUGUGUGUGUUUAAUGUUCCAGUGGUUUGAUGACUCUGGUCAGGUUAGAUUGCCUGUAUUUUGCACAUAUAUUCACUUUAACGUUUGUAAUGCAACAGAUUAUUUAUUAUAUCAGAGCUAAACUGGAGUUUUAUGGUUAAAAAUACUGUGAUACCUGAAUAUAUUCAGAGGCAAUGCCAUGUUAAGUCAUUUUAUAAACAACCAAGCCUAAAUUAGCAUGAGUGACUAUGUUCUAUAUCAUGUAUUGUAUUUCUUUAACAAAAUCCCCAUCAUAGUAUGAACAAAAAUGAAUGCAUUUGUUUUCAAAAAUAAACCAAAACUCAAUAA